GACGAACGCUGGCGGCGUGCCUAAUACAUGCAAGUCGAACGAACUCUGGUAUUGAUUGGUGCUUGCAUCAUGAUUUACAUUUGGGUGAGUGGCGAACUGGUGAGUAACACGUGGGAAACCUGCCCAGAAGCGGGCGAUAACACCUGGAAACAGAUGCUAAUACCGCAUAACAACUUGGACCGCAUGGUCCGAGCUUGAAAGAUGGCUUCGGCUA
rnacentral:rRNA from 1 species